rnacentral:rRNA from 1 species
UUAAAUUGAAGAGUUUGAUCAUGGCUCAGAUUGAACGCUGGCGGCAGGCCUAACACAUGCAAGUCGAACGGUAACAGGAAUCAGCUUGCUGAUUCGCUGACGAGUGGCGGACGGGUGAGUAAUGUCUGGGAAACUGCCUGAUGGAGGGGGAUAACUACUGGAAACGGUAGCUAAUACCGCAUAACGUCGCAAGACCAAAGAGGGGGACCUUCGGGCCUCUUGCCAUCGGAUGUGCCCAGAUGGGAUUAGCUAGUAGGUGGGGUAACGGCUCACCUAGGCGACGAUCCCUAGCUGGUCUGA